rnacentral:rRNA from 1 species
UACGAAGGGGACUAGCGUUGUUCGGAAUUACUGGGCGUAAAGCGCACGUAGGCGGAUUUGUUAGUCAGGGGUGAAAUCCCGGGGCUCAACCUCGGAACUGCCUUUGAUACUGCAAAUCUCGAGUCCGAUAGAGGUGGGUGGAAUUCCUAGUGUAGAGGUGAAAUUCGUAGAUAUUAGGAAGAACACCGGUGGCGAAGGCGGGUCUCUGGGCCGAUACUGACGCUGAGGAGCGAAAGCGUGGGGAGCAAACAGG